ACUUAUUUAGUUUAGUUUUGAAUAGUAUUUUGAAAAGAUACAGGCUUAAUUUAAGUG
rnacentral:tRNA from 1 species